rnacentral:tRNA from 2 species
UGCGGGGUGGAGCAGUUGGUAGCUCAUUGGGCUCAUAACCCAAAGGUCGUAGGUUCGAGUCCUGCCCCCGCUA